UGAUAAAAAACUGUGGCCCCCCCAGCAUCGGUUAAACAUCUCUAAGAAUGUGACUCACCCAGCACCAGCAGAAAAAAGGGCCAGCAUCGCCGGAACAUGGUCACUCAAAGAGCCUGGUCUGGCUGAGGAGCAAGGCUGUGAUUUUUUUUUUUUUUUUAAAUCUCAAUCAGUCAUGGGAAUGUGAGGGGAGUUUCCGACGCUUCCCAGCAUCACUCCCACGAGCGCACACCUGCAGUCCACCGCACACAAACACCAUCUUGGCCAUAACAAUAGGAACACCUCUAAUGAGGGAGGACAGGUGGGUGAGUGGGAAGAAUGUGUUUUUUUUUUUUUUU